rnacentral:rRNA from 1 species
AGUGAACGCUGGCGGUAGGCCUAACACAUGCAAGUCGAACGGCAGCACAGGAGAGCUUGCUCUCUGGGUGGCGAGUGGCGGACGGGUGAGGAAUACAUCGGAAUCUACCUUUUCGUGGGGGGUAACGUAGGGAAACUUACGCUAAUACCGCAUACGACCUACGGGUGAAAGUGGGGGACCGCAAGGCCUCACGCGAUUAGAUGAGCCGAUGUCCGAUUAGCGAGUUGGCGGGGUAAUGGCCCACCAAGGCGACGAUCGGUAGCUGGUCUGAGAGGAUGAUCAGCCACACUGGAACUGAGACCCGGUCCAGGCUCCUACGGGAGGCAGCAGUGGGGAAUAUUGGACAAUGGGCGCAAGCCUGAUCCAGCCAUACCGCGUGGGUGAAGAAGGCCUUCGGGUUGUAAAGCCCUUUUGUUGGGAAAGAAAUCCUGUCGAUUAAUACUCGGUGGGGAUGACGGUACCCAAAGAAUAAGCACCGGCUAACUUCGUGCCAGCCGCCGCCGUAACAC